GGUAGCGAUAGCGUCGAGGAUCCACCUGUUCCCAUCCCGAACACAGAAGUUAAGCUCGACUACGCCGGAAGUACUUUGCUGGCAACGGCACGGGAGAUAUGGUAGCCGCC
rnacentral:rRNA from 1 species